AAAUGAAACGAGAGAGAAGGACAUUAAUAAAGUGUAGUAAAUAUAUAUAAAAUAAAAACCCUGCCUCUUGUAAUUAUACGCUUACGUUUGCUUGCUCCCCUCCCACCAUCCCAAAAAAAAAAAUCCUCCGAGCAAAACGUCGCGAGAAGGUGGAGUUUGCUGCGUGAAGGGGGGUGUGGCUACGUCAUCCAUCGAUACCCGGAUGGAGAUCCUCUUCAGCCUCUAACUUUGAUGCGUUUUCUGUGGUGGCGACCUGCGCCACCACCACAUGAUCAAGACACCAUGCAGUCCCGAAAUUGAUGGAUUGAAGGCCAGAUGUCCACAUGACCAUCAUCAUCUAAUUCUUCCACGUGAAGCCUGAAAACCAUGAGGACUAAUUGAGAUCAUUUAUGUUAGGUAGAAUUCCCAAUGGGGGCUAGGUGGUCUCAUGGCCUUGGAAUCCCUAGCAGAUUUUGUUUUUUUUUCUCUAGCCCUCUGGAAUUUUAUUUUGCUUUUUUCUGUCCUCCUGGCCAUCAGACCUUACUUUAUUAUUAGUUACUUAAUAUUGCCUAAUCUUGUUUCUAUAUUUUUUUUAUGAACUUUUCUUUCUUCAUUUUGUAAAGCACUUUGAGCUACAGCAUAACAUGCUAUGUAAGUAAAUGUUGUUGUUGUUGUUGUUGUUGUUCUAUCACACAUGACUCAUGUGUAAAGAUUUAUCUUAAAUAUAUAUUAACAGGCAAAUUCAGCUGUUGCAAAGAACUGAUUUGUAAUUUCAGUCGAGAGAAUUAUUAAAUUGUUAGAAAAUGUGGGUAAGGCUGAUUAAUAAAUGUUAAAUGGUUCUGUAUAAAUGAGAA